GCAGAAGUGGUAUAAAGGCAGAAUACAAAAUUACCAAUUUUGUGAUCCGAGUUCGAAUCUCGGCUUCUGCA